rnacentral:lncRNA from 1 species
GUUGCCAUUAUUUUGCUCUUCCGACGGAUGUUUUGGGCCAGGCGCGACCAACAACCUUGCAUUCAUCAUGCGCAGCUAAGUUUGGCCGAGGGGCGUGUAGGAGAGACUGGACCGGCUUCGUGCAGUGCGCAGAGGCCGUGGCACUUCAGAAUUUCCCGGCCUCCAUGUUUGAACCCGAGACACUAACAUUUGAUUUCUGUGGUGUUUGGAGGAAAAUUUUGCUGGAAAGACGGAUUUGAAAUUCGGCAAGACGGCAGCACCGCAGCGGACGGGCUGAGAGCAUUCUUUGCCCAUGGAACAUAGUGGCCAAGAUCGACCGAGGGUCCGCACAACGAAGGUCCCCGAUGGCCACAGUUCUACAUCAUCUGGCUCUAGAACGAGUCGGAACCGCUCUUCAACCUCGAAUGCGGAGGAAGUCCACAUAGGCAAAUAUCGUCUGAUAAAAACUAUUGGGAAAGGGAAUUUCGCUAAAGUGAAACUCGCCAAGCAUGUACCGACGGGAAAGGAGGUGGCCAUCAAGAUUAUUGACAAGACGCAGCUUAACCCGAGCAGCUUGCAAAAGGUAUGUUUUAUAUUAUACGAAACGACGAAAUCGGUAGAGAGUAGUAACGUGUUUUCGCGUCGAUCAAGCUAGCUAUUUCGCUAGCUUGUCGCAUGUAAUUACGUAUUCGAAAGCAACGUUGGAACCUUCGGUUUGUUUUGAAGAGCGCAUCAAACCACGUAAUUUACCGUUUUCGUCGUGUAUAACUAGCAAAAGUAGAGAUUUCGUUGCCUACCUUACAGACCCAAGAUCUCGAUGGCACAGCGCCCGUUGAGCUACAGCUGUACACCUUGACUUUGUUGAUUUUCCUCCGAGCGUACGUUGAUGUGUGGGAAAAAAUUCUGUAUUCUAAACUGAAAUUGUUCGUUUACAUAUUACUGUCAGUUUAAUAGAAGACUCUGCUAACAUUCGCAUUAGAGCACCACCAAGACUUGGUAAUUUCUUUCGGAUACAAGCUUAAUAAUGUUUUGAAUGAAGCGAUCGUAGAAGGAGAAAUAGUGUUUUUAAAAUCGAAAGGUUAACCGAAGGUUUUUUUCACGGGCUUAUUUUAUUUGUUCAAUUUUUGCUGUGAAGUUGUAUUACAUCGAAGUAUAAUUAGUUGCAUGGCGAAAGAUUGCCCGUUGUUAAAUCUGUUAGUUGGGGUAAAAAAUUCUGUAACGUUGUAGGGACGGACUUCUGACGGUACAAAGAUUUUGUGACGCGAAGUGAAAAUUUUAGACAGCAUCUCAGGUUGUGUUUUAUUAAUAAAGUGUUGGUCCAUUUUGUAUUGCACGUGUUUUCUUAAGAUUUCCUCGGUCGGUUGGCUAAUGCAACUUUUAAAUCGGACGAAUGAAAACUGUUGCCGAAAUCCCCGCAGAUUUACUCGGAAUUUCUUGGGUCAGUAGCCUUGCAAAUCGCGUGCACAUUUUUCAAAUAAAUGGACAAAGUUCUUUCCAUCCUGUGUAGUAAUGUGGAUUGAUAAAAAUCGAAUCGGUCGGUUACCCUUGUAUAUUUACAAAACUGUGCGGUAGACGCAGUGGUUCGGCAGGGAUUUUUCCACUCAUCGAUAAAAUAAUAUUUUCCGUUGGUAAUUUGUCCUCGCUGCGUGUACUAGAGUGAGGGUUUUACGUCACAGUUGAAAUGUCUUAAAAGGUGUUAUGUUAUUUAUCCAUGGGUUUUUGUACACCACACGUCGGCUUAUCCUUCAAGCAGCUGUGAAGAGAGCAAGAUCUAGACCUGAUAUUCUAGUAGCUCUUUGUAAAAUAUUGUUCCUAAGUCGGUACACUGUUAGAUUAAGAAUAUAUCUUGUUGUUCCAUUAUUAGCAUCUGCAGGAAAGUGAACACAAUAUGCCACCAUUAUUUUUGUCCUAUAGUCUUUGUACCUUGAUGUGCUAAAAGGAUUCUUUGCAGACACUGUAGUUGUAAUGGCACAUCCUGGGUGAAAUCCAAUGUUGUUGGCCCUUUUGUGUCUCAAAGUUUUGUCAGUGAAUUUAGGAACCAAUUUUGUUCCUGGAUUGGGGACAACCCCAAAUUGUUUCCAGAUAGCAGUGGAAUUAUUUGGUGACUUUAUCAUCAACUGUUUGUUCUUUAAAAGUUAUGUUAAGUCUGUCAAGUUAUUUUUUAUCACAUUGGUAUAUCUAUGCAUAGCCCUUCAAAAGACAGUAAUUUUAAUUAGUUCUUCUGAAUAACAGCAUGUUCAAUAAUAAUUUUUCACUUUUUAUUUCCUGCCCUGUUGUUACACUUGAGCCAGGUUUUCACAUGGUGGUUGUUGAUACCCUUCCAACUCAAGUUGUGUUUGUCUUUCAUUAACACAGAUGAUGAAUAGCUUCAUCUUCCUUAAAUAGUUUUACUGCUGGUUAAUCAUCCAGAUGUGAACUAGUAGUUAGCUAAAACUUUGGUUUUGUUUGUCAAAUUCAUCUUGUGGUUGGUCAAGAUUCAGUGUAUCAGCCCCAAUUACAGCUGUAGUGCUUGUGUAGAGCUCUGCCUCAAUUAUUGUAGAUCUUGUAGGCAGAAGCAGUUAGCUUUGUGAGCUUUCCCCAUUAAUUUUUUUCACAAGUAAACUCAUAUAUCAAGGCUGCAAAUAACAGUCGGUCAUCGGACAAUUGUCCGGUAAAUCUGAGAUUUUGACAGGUAAAAGCUUAGCCUGGUCGGACACUCUGACGGGGCAUUUCUGAUAAACGAAAAAUAUCUUAACUGGAAAUUUGUGGCCAAAUAUGGCACAAUUUUUUUUAUUAUACUGCCACACAAUACUAUGCAAAAAAAGCUUUGUUAUUAUAGUUUCACCUUUAUUCCAUUUCUGAGCAAUAAUUUUAACACGUGCAAUGCGUCGUCUCAAAUGUCACAUCGAAUUGUGCUAGUAUCGAUUUUAUACUCAGUUUAUUUCGCUUUUUAGUCAUUCCAAUUUGCAACCAACAUUUGGGCAGAGGUUCUACUCUGAAAUACCAAAAUGUCUCAAUCCAGUCUGGUCCGACCAGACUGGCUUUUUGUCAGGCCAAAACUUAUCUUUGGCCUGACAAAUGACUUGCUCGUAGACAAAAAUUAUUUGCAGGCUUGUAUAUUGUUUGAGGCAUAUAAUGGUGUGUUGCACCAUAAAGCAGGACUUUUGUAUGAUACUGUGAUUGCAAAAUCUAUAUGGUACAUAUGCACAUUUCAUUGACGUCAUCAUUUGCAUGAAAAUAUUUCAUUGAUUUGUACAUGUACAUUUAGCAUUUUUUUGCUUGUGUGUUUCUUAUCAUAAAUUGAAUAUUCACAACCGGUUGCAUUUUGAAGACGUUACAACUCAAGUGAAUUGUGAAGCUGUAAAUUCAAGCAUACAUCUAUAAGAUUUUCACAUGUAGUAAAGUAGCACGUUUUGUUUUAAGGUUGCGUAAAAAUUACUUCUUGUAAUGAUACAAUAUCAUCAACAAUUGUCUAGAUCAGAUAUGAUGCACACUACCCACAGUAUAAAAAAUUAACCACAAACAUUGGAAGCAGACAAAAAGAUGUUGCAUUGAAAUGUUUGUGUGUCUCGUUAAUAACCCAGUUAGUAUUUGAUGUGAUCACGUAGCUAAAUGGAAGAAGCAAGUCAUCAGUCAGCUACUUGUCUAUUGAUGUUACAUGGGCCCUGAGUACAACAAUAUUCUAAUGUAAAGUUUCUUAAGCUUUUACUCUCAACACUUAAGAUACCAAAUCGUCUGUUGUGUAUACCUGGGGUGGUAAAACAGAGUUUUCUUGUUGCAUUUAUGAAAAUGUACUGGUUCUUUAUAUUUAAGUGCAGUAAUUGUAUUAGAUAUUACUUGUAAUUUGCCAUGAUGUGAACAGUAUUAAUAUAGCCUGUCGGUGCAUGUGUACAGCAACAAGUUAGAUAUUGAAGAAGAAGCACAUUUGAUAUUUUUAAGUGCUUGCAUAUUGAUCUGUUUGCAGUUUUUAAAACAAGGAAGAAGUACAGCUUAAAUUGAAACUUCAGUGAGCUUUUCUUCCAUGUAGCUUCUGGUUUUCAUACACUUGUAAAUGGGUACAAAACCUUUUUUCUUGUCAACAAUUAGUUGUGCUGGGUUUCUUUCUUCCUUAUUAGGUGCAUAAGGUCUGGUCAACUGGUUUUGUCAUUUAUAACAAA